rnacentral:rRNA from 1 species
UACGUAGGGUGCUAGCGUUGUUCGGAAUCAUUGGGCGUAAAGCGCGUGUAGGUGGUUAGGUAAGUCAGGUGUGAAAUCCCUGGGCUCAACCGAGGAAGUGCACUUGAAACUACCUAGCUAGAGGACAGUAGAGGAAGGUGGAAUUCCUAGUGUAGAGGUGAAAUUCGUAGAUAUUAGGAGGAAUACCUGUGGCGAAGGCGGCCUUCUGGGCUGCUCCUGACACUGAGACGCGAAAGCGUGGGUAGCAAACAGG